rnacentral:lncRNA from 1 species
AAAAAAAAAAAAUAUAUAUAUAUAUAUAUAUAUAUAUAUAUAUAUAUAUAUAUAUAUAUAUAUAUAUAUAUAUAUAUAUAUAUAUAUAUAUAUAUAUAUAUAUAAAGUGAAAGUCGUGACAUUUGCCAAGUAUGGUAGCCCAUACUCGGAAUUGGUGCUCUGCAUUUAGCCCAUCCAAGUGCACACACACAGCAGUGAAGAAGUGAACACACUGUGAUCACACACCCGGAGCAGUGGGCAGCUAUAGAUCCAGCGCCCAGGGAGCAACUGUGGGUUCAGUGCCUUGCUCAAGGGCACUUCAGUCAUGGGUAUUGAGGGUGGAAGAAAGCACUGUUUAUUCACUCCCUCCUCCUACAACUCCUGACAGCAAUGAGACUUGAACAUGCGACCUUCCAACUCUCUAACCAUUAGGCCACAGCUGUCCCCUCUGUGUGUAUGUAUAUAUAUAUAUAUAUAUAUAUAUAUAUAUAUAUAUAUAUACACACUAAAAAAUCCUGGGUUAUUUUUUCUACCCAAGUGCUGGGUUGAGCCAUUUGGGUAAAUUUUUUGGGUUAUUUUCUCAGUCUUGGGUAGUUUUUGGGUAGUUCUAUGUAACCCAACCGCUGGGUUAUUUUCUGGGUCGUUUUCACUGAGAGCUGAAUCAAUGCACCCCCUCCCCCACUCGGACGCAAUAACCCAGCUCAUUGGAGUAACCCCAGAGUGCAGUCUGGACGAUGGGGCGGGGCGACACUUCGAGGCGGAGCGACACGUGUCGCCCCGCCCAUAUUUGUUUCCCCGCCUUUGACAUUUUCCUCCGAGCCAGCAGGGGGCAGUUUGCGUUGAAACAAACAGAUCGGUGGCAACUACAGCAGCAGAGUAAUAACGCUAUUCCGUUGAUUGCUUGAGGAUGACAUGAUCAGGAGGUGGUGGUGUUCUGUUCUCCUGGACAGCUUCACUCCACAAAUAGCUCAACCACUGAGGGGAGGAACUUCACCAUUCACCAUGUCUUCAGGCAGAGUCCAGCAAAGCAGAUGGUUCAGGGUUGUGCUCCGAAGUUUUUCGGAAAGCGGCACAGUUUGCCUGGCUAGACAUUGUGGCCAACUGGAAGAAUUGUCCUCCUGUCUCCUGACCGGAACGAGUUCAGACGGAUGUACUGCAUCAGGGAAUGCUUGCAGUGCAGAGCCCUUUUCAAGUUUAACCCACUGGGUACAGGGAAGAGACCGGCGUGGUGAUCUUCUGGGCUUUUGUUUACACAGGAUUUUGUUCCAAGGACUGUUGUUUUUUUUUUUUUUCUUUUUUUUUUCGGCAUGA